rnacentral:rRNA from 1 species
GGACUACCGGGGUAUCUAAUCCUGUUUGAUACCCACGCUUUCGUGCUUCAGCGUCAGUUGUACCUUAGUAAGCUGCCUUCGCAAUCGGAGUUCUGCGUGAUAUCUAUGCAUUCCACCGCUACACCACGCAUUCCGCCUACCUCAUCUACACUCAAGCCCGCCAGUAACAAUGGCAAUUUAGGAGUUAAGCUCCUAGAUUUCACCGCUGACUUAACAGGCCGCCUACGCACCCUUUAAACCCAAUAAAUCCGGAUAACGCUCGCAUCCUCCGUAUUACCGCGGCUGCUGGCAC